UACGAAGGGGGGCUAGCGUUGCUCGGAAUCACUGGGCGUAAAGGGUGCGUAGGCGGGUCUUUUAAGUCAGGGGUGAAAUCCUGGAGCUCAACUCCAGAACUGCCUUUGAUACUGAAGAUCUUGAGUUCGGGAGAGGUGAGUGGAACUGCGAGUGUAGAGGUGAAAUUCGUAGAUAUUCGCAAGAACACCAGUGGCGAAGGCGGCUCACUGGCCCGAUACUGACGCUGAGGCACGAAAGCGUGGGGAGCAA
rnacentral:rRNA from 1 species